GCAAGUCGAGCGGAGAUGAGGUGCUUGCACCUUAUCUUAGCGGCGGACGGGUGAGUAAUGCUUAGGAAUCUGCCUAUUAGUGGGGGACAACAUUCCGAAAGGAAUGCUAAUACCGCAUACGCCCUACGGGGGAAAGCAGGGGAUCUUCGGACCUUGCGCUAAUAGAUGAGCCUAAGUCGGAUUAGCUAGUUGGUGGGGUAAAGGCCUACCAAGGCGACGAUCUGUAGCGGGUCUGAGAGGAUGAUCCGCCACACUGGGACUGAGACACGGCCCAGACUCCUACGGGAGGCAGCAGUGGGGAAUAUUGGACAAUGGGCGGAAGCCUGAUCCAGCCAUGCCGCGUGUGUGAAGAAGGCCUUUUGGUUGUAAAGCACUUUAAGCGAGGAGGAGGCUACUUAGAUUAAUACUCUAGGAUAGUGGACGUUACUCGCAGAAUAAGCACCGGCUAACUCUGUGCCAGCAGCCGCGGUAAUACAGAGGGUGCGAGCGUUAAUCGGAUUUACUGGGCGUAAAGCGUGCGUAGGCGGCUGAUUAAGUCGGAUGUGAAAUCCCUGAGCUUAACUUAGGAAUUGCAUUCGAUACUGGUCAGCUAGAGUAUGGGAGAGGAUGGUAGAAUUCCAGGUGUAGCGGUGAAAUGCGUAGAGAUCUGGAGGAAUACCGAUGGCGAAGGCAGCCAUCUGGCCUAAUACUGACGCUGAGGUACGAAGCAUGGGGAGCAAACAGGAUUAGAUACCCUGGUAGUCCAUGCCGUAACGAUGUCUACUAGCCGUUGGGGCCUUU
rnacentral:rRNA from 1 species